AGAGUUUGAUCCUGGCUCAGGACGAACGCUGGCGGCGUGCCUAAUACAUGCAAGUAGAACGCUGAAGAGAGGAGCUUGCUCUUCUUGGAUGAGUUGCGAACGGGUGAGUAACGCGUAGGUAACCUGCCUUGUAGCGGGGGAUAACUAUUGGAAACGAUAGCUAAUACCGCAUAACAAUGGAUGACACAUGUCAUUUAUUUGAAAGGGGCAAUUGCUCCACUACAAGAUGGACCUGCGUUGUAUUAGCUAGUAGGUGAGGUAACGGCUCACCUAGGCGACGAUACAUAGCCGACCUGAGAGGGUGAUCGGCCACACUGGGACUGAGACACGGCCCAGACUCCUACGGGAGGCAGCAGUAGGGAAUCUUCGGCAAUGGGGGCAACCCUGACCGAGCAACGCCGCGUGAGUGAAGAAGGUUUUCGGAUCGUAAAGCUCUGUUGUAAGUCAAGAACGAGUGUGAGAGUGGAAAGUUCACACUGUGACGGUAGCUUACCAGAAAGGGACGGCUAACUACGUGCCAGCAGCCGCGGUAAUACGUAGGUCCCGAGCGUUGUCCGGAUUUAUUGGGCGUAAAGCGAGCGCAGGCGGUUUGAUAAGUCUGAAGUUAAAGGCUGUGGCUCAACCAUAGUUCGCUUUGGAAACUGUCAAACUUGAGUGCAGAAGGGGAGAGUGGAAUUCCAUGUGUAGCGGUGAAAUGCGUAGAUAUAUGGAGGAACACCGGUGGCGAAAGCGGCUCUCUGGUCUGUAACUGACGCUGAGGCUCGAAAGCGUGGGGAGCAAACAGGAUUAGAUACCCUGGUAGUCCACGCCGUAAACG
rnacentral:rRNA from 2 species